UGUUUACAGAAGGCGGAGCGACUUUCUCAUGCCAUUUUUGAUUGAAUGUUAAAUGUGAGACUGCAGACACAAGCUGUUGGAUCAUCCGGCUAAUUACUGCAUUCCAAUCAGAAAACUUUUGAUCGAAAUCCACAAGUGAUUCACAGAGAUAAAUUUCUCCCCUGAUCUUAUUCCCGAAUCACCGGUGUCUGCAGCAGUGUGAAGCAAGCGGCCGAAAGAGAAUAAUAAAAACCCCG